UACAGGGGGGGCAAGCGUUGUUCGGAAUUACUGGGCGUAAAGGGUUCGUAGGCGGGUUAUUAAGUCAGAGGUGAAAUCCUGGAGCUCAACUCCAGAACUGCCUUUGAUACUGAUAGUCUUGAGUAUGGGAGAGGUGAGUGGAACUGCGAGUGUAGAGGUGAAAUUCGUAGAUAUUCGCAAGAACACCAGUGGCGAAGGCGGCUCACUGGCCCAUUACUGACGCUGAGGCACGAAAGCGUGGGGAGCAAACAGG
rnacentral:rRNA from 1 species